rnacentral:rRNA from 1 species
CCCUUAGAUGUCCUGGGCCGCACGCGCGCUACACUGAACGGAUCAGCGCGUUUUCCCUUCCCGAGAGGGACGGGUAACCUGCUGAACCCCGUUCGUGGUAGGGAUCGGGGCUUGCAAUUAUUCCCCGUGGACCAGGAAUGCCCAGUAAGUGCAAGUCAUAAGCUUGCGUUGAUUACGUCCCUGCCCUUUGUACACACCGCCCGUCGCUACUACCGAUUGAACGUUUUAGUGAGGUACUCGGACUGAGCCUCAGAAGAUUCACGUCUUUUGUGCUGCUCGGGAAGAUUCCCAAACUUGAGCGUUUAGAGGAAGUAAAAGUCGUAACA